rnacentral:rRNA from 1 species
UACGUAGGGUGCAAGCGUUGUCCGGAAUUAUUGGGCGUAAAGAGCUCGUAGGCGGUCUGUCGCGUCGGCUGUGAAAACUCGGGGCUCAACUCCGAGCUUGCAGUCGAUACGGGCAGGCUAGAGUUCGGCAGGGGAGACUGGAAUUCCUGGUGUAGCGGUGAAAUGCGCAGAUAUCAGGAGGAACACCGGUGGCGAAGGCGGGUCUCUGGGCCGAUACUGACGCUGAGGAGCGAAAGCGUGGGGGAGCAAACAGG